rnacentral:lncRNA from 1 species
UCUCCGGGCCCCCGGGACCCUCCUGCCCUCCAGCCCUAACCCCGGCCCCUUCUCCCACCCCUUGCCAGCAGUGUUACAAGACUCAGGCGAAACUACCUCCUGAAGCGAAGCGCCGGGCCGGGCCUAAGCUCGGGCUCAGGCUCGGCGGUUCCUUUGGCUUUUCACUCACUUUUUGAGACUUGCUGUACAAAAGAAAAAAAAAAAAAUCUAUUUAAAUUUGGGAGCUCUAUUUAUGUAUAAAAACCCACCGAUGGUGGCCACGAGCUGCAGGCAGGAGCCAGAGCCGGGCUGAAGGUGGAUAUGGGGAGGGGGGUUUCUGUCUGUCUGUCUGUCCAGGUGAGAGAGACCCUGUCCCGCGUGCGUGGACUCAGCCUGCCCCUUCGGGCAUCCCCCAGCCCUCGGAGUGCGAGUGCUGGAGCCGGACAGCUGGUGAGAGGGUUUGCUCUCCCAGAGAGGACGGUCCAGCGAGGGACGAAGCCGGGGCGAGGAGGAGGUGCUGCCGUCCCCGCGCACCCAGGAGGGGCGCAGGCAACGCGUGCGGGGAGGUCGCGAGCGCCUGCUCCGAGGAGGGCGCAGCAGCCCCAGGGCGCCGCCGGCCAGAGGGGAGCGACUGGGACCCAGCAGCAGGCAGCGAGACACCGUCGCCGGAGCUGGACUGGCUGCCACCGUGCCGGGGCCGUGGAUGCGGGAGCCAGGGCGAGCGGCACGGCGGGUGCGUCCCCUGCUGCGGGUCCCUCCUCCCACCCACAGCACGGAGAGGGGCCAGCGCCUGCGUCCCCCCACCGCCAUCCUGGCUGGGCCGUGCUGCGCCCCUCCCACGUGGCGCCGGUGAAGAUUUGGGGCUGGAGGGAACGGUCCCCGCGCGCCCCCAAGAGCCCUGGAGAAGGGCCUGGCUCGCCCGAGGCCUCUUGCUCUCUGUGGCACUGCCCAGGGGAGCCGCUGUCCCCAGAUCCCCCCACCCAGCUCCGCUCCUGCCUCCCCCAGCCCGGGAUGGGGGGCCUGGGGGCCAGGCGGGGGCAAGCACAUGCCGUAUCCCAGGGACAGCCAGGGGAUGACAUGGGAUAGCCCAUGUCCCCCACGCGUUCCUCGCCCAGAGCCCAGCCCCAUGGUGGGCCGGGACUGGGGAAGGAGCCAUCGGGGCCAGCAGCGGGCCGGACCCCCGGCCCUCGUGCCCCGGAGGAGCGAGGCCUCGCGGGUAACGGGCCGAGCCGGGCUCCUGCGUCCCCCCGUUUUGCUGGCAGGGAGGUGCCGGCUCAGCCACCCCUGCGCAGCUCUGUGCCUCGGUUUCCCGACUGCCCUGGGCAGCAGGGUGCCCCCACCUGAGCUGUGGGGAGGGAGAAGUGUCCCCCAAGCCCUGUGCCCUAGACAGCAGCAUCACCCCCCCCCCCCAUGUCCAGCCCCCUUGGCCUGGCACCCCCCUCGCACAGCCCCGGAGGUGCCAGGGCGCCCCCAGGG